rnacentral:rRNA from 1 species
AACGUAGGAGACAAACGUUAUCCGGAGUUACUGGGCGUAAAGGGCGUGUAGGUGGUUGCGUAAGUCUGGCGUGAAAUAUCUCGGCUUAACCGAGGCAGGUCGUCGGAUACUGCGUAACUAGAGGACGGUAGAGGCGUGUGGAAUUCCGGGUGUAGUGGUGAAAUGCGUAGAGAUCCGGAGGAACACCAGUGGCGAAGGCGACACGCUGGGCCGUACCUGACACUGAUGCGCGACAGCAUGGGGAGCAAAC